GAUUCAAAUCUAUACUGCACUGUUCUGUUACAAAAGCAGCAAUACGUUACAGCCCGGUAUAGAAAAUAAAAAUAAAAAGAACAUUUGCAUCUUUCAGAAUUAAUUGGUACUCACAUAUGCUUAGUUAUGUUCGCCUUCUUUGUAUUGCAUCUUCACCUCUAUCAAUAUUGUAGAUGUACUUAUAUGGUACAUGAAAUAUAUAAAAGAAUAUAUAGUUAAUCAAGUGAAAGGUUAGUUGAGCCAAGUCCAAAGCAAAGUGAUUGAGAAGUAAAAGCUUGCAACAAAAAAAAAAAAGAAAAAUAGAAAAAGAAGAAGACUGAAUCAGGUUUUGCAAGUCACCCGGGGAAAAGCCAAUAUCUUCAAACAAAAUAUGACCUGGAAGUUCCCUGUUUUACUGCGAGCAAAGCAAAUGGUUAAAACUAAUAAUAAGAGGGAUAUAAAAAACGUAGGGUACUAUGAAAUAGGCCUAAUGUCAAUCAUUUGUAGAAUCCUUGGUUUUAAUUCAAGAAAUAAAAUCUUGGAUUUCUGAGCUUCUUGUGGGAUUAAAGACCAGACUGCAACAACUAAAGCCAAAUCACAGUGUUUCCAACAAUUCUAAACUCCUCAUCAUCUUGAUUGUCACUAAAAGUUUAACUACACUCUUAUUUUCUUCCCUCAGCUCUUUCAGAGCAUCACCAGCUUCCCAAAUGACAAACCAAAAUCAAAUAUAUAAUUAACUAUAGGAAAAGAAGUAUCACGAUAUGGAUUAGUUAGAAAAAACAUUCUUUCAGUUAGUACAGAAGUGCACAUGGUAUUACUGUUAAAAUUAUCAGACGCAAAUAUAAUCACUUUCCUCAAUUUGCAAAACACAAAGCAUUUAAAUUUACAGAGUAACAACGAUACAUGCACUGGCUCACCUUCCUCUAUCCACCUGUUUUCUAGUUCUGUUUUACAAUCAACCACUUUCUAUCAAAUUAAAAAAGUACAAACAAAUGAACACAAAUCAAAAGACUAUGUUUUCCACCUAAAAUGGUGUUGUGAUAUCGGCCAAUUAUGUAUGUCAAGGAACCCCAAAAGAACACAGCAAACCUAGAGAAACAACCACAGAGAUAAGACACAAAGAACACAGAUUUAAGGUGGUUCAGCAAAACUUUUGCCUACGUCCACCAGCAGAAAACACUUCCACUAUAUUAAUAAUGGGUACACCAGAAAGAAUAAGAAAACAAGGACUCUCUCACUUCUCUUCCUAUCUCUCUCCUCUCUGCCCUCUCUCACCCUCUAACUGAGAAUGGAACACACUUUGGUCUUCGUCUCUGCGAUACAAGACCUAGAGCUGAACCCCUCCUUAUAUAGUCAUAAGGAUCUUUAGAUCUCUCACCAAAUAGGAAUCCUAUUUCUAUUAGUGGUAGGCAAUAAUGCCUCCUUCCUUCAAUGUAAUCAACAAGAUUACAGGUACAUCAUCAUCAAUAAGGAUUUACUUUCCUUAUUGGAACACCAUACUCUAAGACGAAACAUCUUAAGAAAAACACAUGGGCAGGAAACCCAACAAAUGGGAAACAAAUAAGUCAAUGACUGUAUGAAUACAAUAAAAAGGCAAUGAUAAACAUUUGCAAGUUCGAUUGACUACAACCAUAUGCAAUUCAAAGUUCAUUAACACAUUAAUUCUAGGUGGUCUACCUCUUAAGGGAUUCUCAAAGGUGCAACAGAUGCAAUUAAGGCAUGAUGUAAAUGCACCCAAUUGCUUCAACUUGGGAUUCUCUGUCUUCCCAUUGCUUUGAACAGACGGAUUUGGAUCAUAUUUCAGCAAUGUUGUUCAUAUGGUGCAACUACUAAUAUAUCUAGAACUCGAGCAACAUGCCCAUUACUUUCAAAAUGCCAAUUGAAUAAAAGAUCAUAUCCUCUCCACUAAAUUAGCUGCAGAGCGACUGUAGUUUGAUAUAUACAGCCAAAUAGGCAUUAAUAAACUAUCCUUGUUCUAUACCAAAGAUCUAAUAUUUCAAUAGCAUGAAUCAUUUACAGAGCUAGAGAUUAUCUUCAAACCUUUUCCUCUAAGAACAGUAAUCUGAAACCGGCCACACUAAACAAAACAAAAAAUAAGGGAGGAAAAGAAAUGUGCCUAAGAGGGCCAAAUUCCAAAUCCUCUCUGUUUUACACUAUCAAAUCGGGUUUACAGACUGGGGCUUGGGGAAACAAAUUCAAACAAAUAGGAACUUCUCACUAAGUUUGAAGCACAAUUCUCAAGCACGAAAACCAAUCUUCUAAAACUCUAAUGGAUCAGAUAAAAACUGUCAAUAAACAUGACUUGAGAGCCAAAAACCCAAACUCAGUGUAAACUUCAAAAAUUCAUUUCUCACCUGAAAUUGAACAAACAGGAGAAGCUUUAGAAAUCUGGCUCGAAAAUCAGACGCUGACAAUCACAACUACCGAAAUCCUCUCUCUCUCUCACAAAAAAGCGGGGUCUCAAUCCAAAAUUCGAUACCCAUAUCUCAAAUUGCCAAUAUAUCGAAAACACAACCAAAUUUCAAAUUUACCAUGAAAAAAGAAAACCAAAUGAUAACCCAAAACCAAAACUGAAUCAAAGAAAGGAUUACCCAGACUGCAAUGCCAAUCGACCGGACAAGAACAGAAAAAGCAUUUACACACUUUAAUAAGAGGACGGUGAAAAACAGGAAAGGAGAUCAAAGCAAUUGAGCUAGUAAUUACAUUCACCAUCUUCAGUUAUCUCUGGUGGCACUCGAAAGCAAAAAGAAAAAUCAUAUUGAUACUCAGAUUAAGCAAACAUGAAAAUUAAAUCAAGCAGAUGAAAGCAAAGUUUUCUUUCUUUGAAGCCACUAUAAAAUCGAUACAGUCUAGUCUACUUUAUUUGAGUACAUUGCAUGUAAAGUUUGUAACUUUACAAACUUUACAAAGUUUGUAAACUUUAUAACUUUACCUGAAAAACGGCUUACAAAUAAAACUCAAAUCAGCAAGCUAUAUACUGGAGUUUGGUGCAAUCGAUCAUUGAGGUGCUAGACAGCCGCACAGACAAAACCCGAAUCAGCUCAAAUCAAGGAAACAGAAAACCAGUCAAAAAUAACAGUGCAUCACAUUCUUCGUCAUAUAAAACAUGCUGUUAUGUUUGAAAAGAUAGUGACUGCCGAAGAUCAAAGCAAUUGAGCUAGUACUUACAUUCACCACCUUUAGUUUCCAGCCAGGUCCAGUUAUCUCUCCAAUUUAAUAUUUGGGUGGCACUCGAUAGCAAAAAGAAGAAAGAAACGAAAAUCAGAUUGAAACUCAAAAAGAAAGAAAUACAAUUUUUUUAUUUGAGUAUAUUGCAUGUAAACUGUAACUUUACCAGAUAAACUGCUAAAAAAUGAAGAUCAAAUCAGCAAGCUAUUUACUGGAAUCAAUCAUUGAGGCCCUAGACAACAGAACAGACAAACGCCGAAUCAGCUCAAAUCAGGUAAUGGGAACGGUUAUCCUUCUUGAAAUGAUAAGCUCAAUCUCAAACAGUAUAAAAACCACACAAAAACGGAAUGAAAAAAUUUGAAAAUUCAAAAACACUCAACUUAUCUAUUUGAUCUGAGCAGAGGAUUGGGAAACUUCCCAAAUCUAUAGUCCCACGAAUCCAUCUUGGGGAAAAUUUAUAUUGCACUCUUUACAUUCAAACACCAAAUUUCAUGCCACCAAAAAAAAAAUUCAAAUGAAAACACAAUAUAAAUUGAAAUGCAAACGCAAAAGCCAAUAAAGUCAAGCAUAACAACACCAAGAAUAUACCUAAGAAACUAACAAAUUGGAUCCUGCCCAAAAUCAACCAAACUCGAUCAGGCACAUGUUAACAAAUCCUCCGUAGAUUGUCACUCAAAGAUAUCUCAUCGGCUCUACACCGAAAAUGAAAAAAAAAUAAAAAAAUGGAUAGAACCAAAAGAAAAGGAUAAGAAAUACCGAGACAGUAGAGCACAUAAAAGCACUGGUUUUCAAAACACUAUCUCUUGUCUUUUAACAUACCCAUCUCAGCAGGGAGGUAAUCAAGAGUGCCACACAUGGUCCGACUGCGAUUGAAUGUAUGCACUGACCACCCCAAAUCUGCUAUCUUGAGUUCACCCUGACAUUAGAAAUCCCCAUUGACAUGAUAAGCAACAAGUAUGCAUCACUAGGUCAAAAAAGGAAACAUAUAACAGCAUAGUAAGAUAUUCAGCACCUGUUGACCAAUGAGAAGGUUUUCUAGUUUGAUAUCUAGAUGAAUCAAGUGCUUUCCAUUACAGUAUAUGAGGGCUCGGGCCAAAUACCUCAUGAAAAAAAACAUCAGAAUUUCUAUUCUAUAAACAACCGAAAGAGUAUGAAUUCGACACCACAAAAAAACUUACGGUGGCUGCACUCUUUCACUGAAGUGUUUACACUUCUGGAGUUCCUUGUAUAGUUCACCUUUGGCGGCAUAUUCCAAAAUAUCAAAUAAACUCGUUUCUGCAAUAAUUAAAAUUCCACUGCAAAGGUGAGUGACUCUGUACCAUAGUGGUUCAAUUAACUAGGAGACGUUCAAUUUGGUGCAAACAUAAACCACCUAUGAGCACUAUACCUGAUCAUAAAAGUAGCCAUAAAGACGUAGAAUAUUGGGAUGGCGAAGAGGACUUUGUAUUUCAACUUCCGGGCGAAGCUGAAGAUUGUUGCAACUGGUUCUUGAAGAGGACUUUGAGUGAACCUCUAAUAACUCUGUAGAACCUUCAAGGAUCAAUGUCUCAAGAUUUGGGACCGCGCUGAAGUCCGGGGUCAUGGUUAAACAUCGGCAGUUGGAAAGAUCCAUGGUUCUUGAAGAGAACUUUGAGUGCCACGAUGUGAUUGCUCUGUUUCAGGCAUAGAUACAGAUCAAGAACUGUGUAUACACACCACUAAAAGCAAGUAAACAGAGAGAUACAACACCAUGAUGAUGCAUAGCAAACACUCAUUUCCAACUUAAAAUUGCAAAAGGACAUUCCGCAUCAUUUGAUAAUAUAGCACAUUAUACACAAAUCUCAUCCCCUCUCUACAUUUCUAGGGAAUAGUUUACAAAAAUCAGUAUAUCAUCAACAUCUGAUCACCUAUAUAGGCGAAUCAGUGCAGUUCCUGAUCAACUCCAUAAACCAAUUUAAGACCAGCUCUUUAUAUUCACAAACUUUCCAAAACAAACACCCAAUUUAUAACCAAUGCACAAUGCACUAUCAACGCCAUAUAUAAUCUGAACCCACAAAAACCCACCAAAAAUUGAAAAGCAGUAUGCUUUAGUACAAUAACGAUUGGAUAAAAUAGACCUUAUAAACCCCAACGUAAUUCUAAUUAAACACUUGCUUUGAAAGAAAACAUAUCAAUAAUUAUACCUGUAACCCGAAAACCCAAAAUUACCUUCCCUAUUCUUGCUGAUGAUACGCUGCAAAUUUGGUCAAGAUCAGAAAGAGAUCAACAUAGAUCAGAAACGGUUCAAAUUUCAAAAAGAGAGCAAAGAAGAUCGAAAUUCAGAUUCACAAUAUAAAAAACGAGAUAAAAAAAACUUAGGAGACGUAAGCAAUAAUGGAAAAAUAUAACCCCCUCGUAGCCUCACACACACAGCAAUGCAGAACAACAAACCAAACAGUUAAAAGUAAAAGGUAGGAAGCAAAAAUACUUAUCAAAGUUAAGGAAACAUUCGAGUGAACCCAACGGUUCUUAAGUAAAACUGUUGCACAAUUCCUAAACGUCGCAUUUUCCUUGGCAUGGACUUUAAUUUUUUCUAUUUUCCUUUUGCUGAUUGGUUUGAUCCGAAUUGAGAUAUUGUUCGGUAUCAUUGAUAAGUACUAUCAAAAUUGGGUUGACAGACUGGGGAUUAGAGAAACAAAUUCAAACAAAUAGGAACUUCUCACUAAGUUUGAAGGACAAUUCUCAAGCACGAAAACCAAUCUUCUAAAACUCUAAUGGAUCAGAUAAAAACUGUAAAAAAACAUGACUUGAGAGCCAAAAACCCAAAUUAAGUGUAAACUUCAAAAAUUCAUUUCUCACCUGAAAUUGAACAAACAAGAGAAGCUUUAGAAAUCUGGCUCGAAAAUUAGACGUUGACAAUCACAGCUACCGAUUCCUCUUUCUCUCAAUCCAAAAUUUGAUACCCAUAUCUCAAAUUGCCAAUAAAUCGAAAACAGAGAACCAAAUUUCAAAUUUACCAUGAAAAAAUAAAACCAAAUGAUAACCCAAAACCAAAACUGAAAUCAAACAAAGAAUUACCCAGACUGCAAUGCCAAUCGACCGGACAAGAACAGAAAAAGCAUUACACACUUUAAUAAGAGGAUGGUGAAAAACAGGAAAGGAGAUCAAAGCAAUUGAGCUAGUAAUUACAUUCACCAUCUUUAGUUUCCAGGCAGGUCCAGUUAUCUCUACAAUUUGGUAUUCUGGAGGCACUCCAAAGCAAAAAGAAGAAAAAAAAAAUUCAUAUUGAUACUCAGAUUAAGCAAACAUGAAAAUUAAAUCAAGCAGAUGAAAGCAAAGUUUUCUUUCUUUGAAGCCACCAUAUAAUCGAUACAGAUAAGUUAUAAAACUGUUCAUGAUAACUUAAGGCAAGAAUUGAAGAACUCAAGUCAGUACUCACUUGUUUCAAGUCAUCUUCAUAGUCUUCAAUGUCAUCAUUUAUGUCAGCCUCUACUCCUCUCGCAGCUCUAUCAUACACUGCAGAAUAUAAUUUAUUUGUUUUUUCUGCCGAGUCUUUUUGACCCGUUUGUAACCAAAAAAAAAAGUCAAGCCUCAGAUACCUCACUCAAUCUCAGAUGUAAAAUACUUGAGUAUCAAGUCUUUCUCUCUUUCUAUUCUAUUGCAAAUCCACAGAGAUUGAAAUGUGAAUGAAUUUGGCUAGAAAACAUAUCUUGUUUGCAUAUACCGGAUGUAAAUUGUUUUUGGCCAUACACAGCAAUCAAAUCUGCAACUAAAUAUUUUUGCUCAGAAACUGUCAUCGUUAACAUUCAAUGGGUACAUUUUUGGAUUUUCAAUCAAUUUUAGAUGCAUUGCAUUGCAUGCAUUGUAUCUGUGUGUAUAUAUUUCUGAUGAACAGCUAAAUCCUAAUGUGAGUUAUCAAAAGGUCUGCAAUCACACCCAAUGUGAAAAGUAAAAUAAACAGAACACAGACCUUCAAUACGGAAUGGAGUCCCAGCAACCUUCACCGAACCUGCAAAAAAAAAAAAAAGUAAUUCGCAAGACCCAAUCCAAAAUCCAACUGGUCAUGUGAAUAAAUAAUAACACUCAAACUCACAUAUCAAAAAAAGACUUCAUCCAUACAGUACUCAUUUAAUCACAUUGCAUACAACAUUACAAUCCCAAAUUCUUAACCUCAUAAAAGCUGAAAGUCCUCCGAUCGUAUCUAAAGAUGGAAAAAUCGGUUGGCAUUAUACUAUAGCAGCAGUAGUUCUUAACAAUGCAAUGGAGCUUCUCCAUUUAGAAGGCAAAAGAGCAACCAUUUUUGCAGCUCAUCAUCAGAAUUUUAUUUCAUUUACAAAGUCUUUGAAGCCCUAUUAUUCUUCUCCGUUUAUUUCUGUUCUAAUUCACACAAAAAAUGCAAGCAGAUGAUGGAAAUAUGAUAUAUUUACAGAUGGACAAUAGGAAAUGAAUAAUUAGAUGUAAAUAUGGAUGUGAUUCUCAAUAUGCAAAUGUCAUCGAUUAACAUUCUAUUACAUGAUCAUCACCAAACCUAUCAAAUUUGAAUGAAGCUAAAACACAUAUACAUACUCAUAAUCUGUAAAACUAUCCACAUAUGUUACAAUAUCUUUCCACUCCUUUUAUUUCCUUUUUAUCCAAAUCAAAAAACACUAAAUCAACAGAAGAGAAAAGACACCUGAAUUACAGAGACCAUCCACAAAUAGGCACAGCAACAACCAAAAAAUCUAAUAGCAAAAUCAAAAUAUAAAUAGUUACCCUUAAAGUUUCUACAGUGAACAUAAGGAGACAAAAAUUUCUUAUCUGAUUUCUGAUAUACAUACUACCCCGUCACCUUCUAAAACAGGAAAAACUAUGAAUGAUGAUAAGCCAAUUGAGUAUGGUAACACUGUAAAAUACACCAUUCAAAUCAUAAAGUUGAGCCACAAAGAAACAAUAACAUUGUAGGCAAAGUUGAAAGAAAAGACAUACAUUUUAGAAUAGCUGCAAAGAGAAUAAGCAAGUAUGAUUCUAGAACUACGUAACAACCAAAAUCGGCAAUUAAUCAAAAACACAAUUAUUGAGGAAUCUGAAGCAAAUACAUGAUUUUCAAUUGGAACUGUGGCCAUAUGCAUAAAAUACACGAGCAGUGGAAUACCUACUGAAUCUUUUUGGCUUCAAAUCAAAGAGGAUUCUCAAUACCACCAACUUGUAAUUACACACCAGCAGAACUCUUCAUUAAUUAGCAUGAACAAAAGAGAAGAAGAAAAUGAAAAGAAAAUCAACUUCAAAGAAAAACAAAAUCCGAACCCCAACUGAAAAGCAAAGAAAAAAAGGACCAGCUCAAAUCCACAAACAUUAAAAAUGAUAUCGAGGGAAAAUUGAAAGGAUUACCAAGACCUCAAAAAGAGACCAAGUCACUAUCUUCCAGAGCCAACCAAAUCCAAAACCUCUCUAGUCCUCUUCACCAUAGUUUUAAUAGCUGAUACUGUAACAACAAUAAGAAAACCCAUAAUCAGAAUCUAAUUUAUACAAAACCCUAAAUAAAAAUGGAACAGCGAAUAUAGCUCAUACUGUAACCACAAUAAGAAAACUCAUAAUCAGAAUCCAAUUUAUAAAAAACUCUAACUAAAAUUGGAACAGUGAAUUUGUUGAAGGUUGCCAUAUAUCAGCCUGUAUCACUAUCAUUAUCUUGAUAUUUUCAGCCUGAAUCACUAUUAUUAUCUUGAUAUUCAGUUUGGAUAGUUUUUGACAAACCAUCUAUGUAGAAGCAUAUAGAGAAAUUAGAGUUACCUUUACCACCUUAAUGCGCCGUUUGCUUCCUGCGUGCAGUUUAUGCAUCUUAGAGCCUCAAAUGGUGCCUACUCCGCCAGAUGAAAACGAAAAAAUAGAAACAAAACUUCAUGAGAUUGAAGAAUGGAGUAGUAAGCAAAAUUGCAUACAAAUUAAAACAACCCAACAGCAUUUAAAUGAGAUCACUUGAUCACACCUGUAAGUCUGUAACCAAAUAUAUCCGGUUCAUUCAGAAUGGAGAUAGGAAGAAAACCUGGAACUAACUUAACGAGGUCACAAAAACAUAAAUGUAAUCAAACAUAUAGGAUUCCUUCAGAAUAUAUAAAAAUUACAGCAAAUUGCUCAAGGUAGUAGAGUUUAAGAACACCCAGAGAAAAGUAAUUGAAGAAAAGUACCCAAAUCGAUUCGCUGGUUAAAUAGACAGUUGAAUCUGCAAUCAACAAUUCUGAUACCAAUAUUUUACUCACUGGGUUUUAGUUUGCUCUGCUCCCCAACAAAUCUGUGUGAGUUCCACAGAAAUUUAUCACCAAAGCUAGUAAAGGAAAAAGAAUCAUAUACCACAGAAUAGAAAUAACUGAACAAUACCUUUUAUUACCAAAGGCAGCCAAAUUGAAAAAAAACAGUAUCUUUCUUUCUUUCAUCACACAAUCCCCAAAGAAGUACCCUUUAAGCUUAAUUGAUUAUGAUCUUCUCUUUCUGCUGACCAACACUAACCAAAAAAAAAAGUAGAUUAGAAACGCAACUAAAACAAACUCCGAUUAAUCUUAGUUUCACACUCUCACGUUGCAAAGCUGCACUGAUUACAGAAAAAGUAAAAUAUAGAGAUGCAUUUGUUUUGAAAAUAAAUUGAAAGUGUACCUCAAAACUUUAUCCAAUCCCGCCCUCGUUCUUCAAUCAAAAUCUCAAUCACAGUCCAAGUAGUCCGGCAUUUGAACGAGGAAAAUAACAAUAGGACAGGUAAUUAGAUCAGAACAGUUCGGAUAUCAAAAAGAGAGCAAAGAAGAUCAAAAUUAAGAUUCACAAUAUAAAAAACGAAAUAAUAAACUUAGGAGAAGUAAGCACACCUGAAAAAAUAUAACCCCCAUACAACGUGUGUCACACACACAGAGAGCACCACCUUCGAUCUAAAAUCCAAUUCCAAACCACAUGUAGAAAACCAAACCAAACAGUUAAAGUAAAAAGGAAGCGAAAUACUUAUUAAAGUUAAGGAAACAUUCGAGAGACUACAACACUCAAACUCGUACGCCAUCAGUCAAACUUGUACUCAUUCUUCAGUUCAUCUCUUUACCUCAGGAUAAUCCACAAAACAGAUGCUUGAAUUAAUUUUGGUUUAAAGAAAGGAUUGCUGAUCUAAAAGUGAAAAUAAAAUUCAGUGUGAAAGACUAAUUCCUUACCACAUUUAUAGGAUCUAAACGCGAUUGUCUUUCCACUAAGCUCCAGAGCUGCACAUUAAUCACCAAAAAGAAUUUUAAGCACAUUUAACACCAAACUCUAAUAGUUUUUUUAACCUUUACAAUACUAAAAACAAAAGUAAAGAAGCAAUCAUCACCUUUCCAGCAGCAUUGCCCUGUACAAAUGAAAGGAAUAAAUUGCAAAACUGAUACAGAAAUAAUGAACUUGAAGAGCAUGACCAAGUUGAAAAAUCCAUGUUGAUAAGUAUCAUUUCAGUAGGCAACUAUUCAUAUAUUCAAGUGCAUCAAUCAUAUUGCAUCAAAUAAAGUAUUCCAAGCAACCAAUUUUGAUUAAAAUCCGUAUUAGACUGCGCUAAACAUAUAAUGAAAUCAGAAAUUACUCAAAACAUUGCAAGGCUGAGGCAAUAGAUCAGUGACACCAAUUCCCCUCAUAUAUUGUUGUGCUCUGACCUCCUGCAAUAAUUUUCAACAGUGGAAUAAAAAAUUUCACAAUCAAGCUAUCCAUAUAGAUGCAACAGCAUCUAUAUCAAACCUAAAACUCACUUUCCAAGCUUCACUUUUCAUAUCUAGUCCGUCCCAAACCAAUUCAAGACCAGCUCUUUAUAUUCACAAACUUUCCAAAACAAACACCCAAUUUACAACCAAUACACAUUGCACUAUCAACGACAUAUAAUCUGAACCCACAAAAACCCACCAAAAAUUGAAAAACAGCAUGCUAAAGUACAAUAACGAUUGGAUCAAAUACACCUUAUAAACCAAAACGUAAUUCUAAUUAAACACUUGCUUUGAAAGAAAACAUAUCAAUAAUUAUACCUGUAACCCGAAAACCCAAAAUUACCUUCCCUAUUCUUGCUGAUGAUACGCUGCAAAUUUCGUCAAGAUCAGAAAGAGAUCAACAUAGAUCAGAAACGGUUCAAAUUUCAAAAAGAGAGCAAAGAAGAUCGAAAUUCAGAUUCACAAUAUAAAAAACACUUGGGAGAAGUAAGCAAUCAAGGAAAAAUAUAACCCCCUUAUAACGUCACACACAGAGCACCACCUUCAGUCUAAGAUUGCAGAAAAAACAAACCAAACAGUUAAAAGUAAAAGGUAGGAAGCAAAAAUACUUAUCAAAGUGAAGGAAACAUUUGAGUGAACCCAACCGUUGUUAAGUAAAACAGUUGCACAAUUCCUAAAUGUCAUACUUUCCUUCGCAUGACUUUUAUACAGAUACAGAGAAGUCAUGGAAAAGGCUAAAGCUCUUCCCUUUUUUCUAUUUUCAUUUUGCUGAUUGGUUUGAUCCGAAUUGAGAUAUUGUUCGAUAUCAUUGAUAAGUACUAUCAAAAUUGGGUUUACAGACUGGGAUUUGGGGAAACAAAUUCAAACAAAUAAGAACUUCACGCUAAGUUUGAAGCACAAUUCUCAAGCAGGAAAACCAAUCUUCUAAAACUCUAAUGGAUCAGAUAAAAACUGUAAAUAAACAUGACUUUGAGAGCCAAAAACCCAAACUAAGUGUAAACUUCAAAAAUUCAUUUCUCACCUGAAAUUGAACAAACAGGAGAAGCUUUAGAAAUCUGGCUCAAAAAUCAGACGCUGAAAAUCACAGCUACCGACAUCCUCUUUCUCUCUAUCACAAAAAAGCGGUCUCAAUCCAAAAUUCGAAACACAUAUCUCAAAUUGCCAAUAAAUCAAAAACACAGAACCAAAUUUCAAAUUUACCAUGAAAAGAGAAAACCAAAUGAUAACCCAAAACCAAAACUGAAAUCAAACAAAGAAUUACCCAGACUGCUAUGCCAAUCGACCGGACAAGAAAAACAGAAAAAGCAUUACACUUCAAUAAGAGGAUGGUGAACAACAGGAAAGGAGAUCAAAACAAUUGAGCUAGUAAUUACAUUCACCAUCUUUAGUUUCUAACCAGGUCCAGUUAUCUCUGCAAAUUUGUAUUCUGGUGGCACUCGAAAGCAAAAAAAAGAAAGAAAGAAAGAAAAAUCAUAUUGAUACUCAGAUUAAGCAAACAUGAAAAUUAAAAAUCAAGCAAAUGAAAGCAAAGUUUUCUUUCUUUGAAGCCACUAUAUAAUUGAUACAGUUUUCUUUAUUUGAGAACAUUGCAUGUAAAGUUUGUAACUUUACCUGAAAAACUGCUUAAAAUUGAAACUCAAAUCAGCAAGCUAUAUACUGGAAUUCAGUGCAAUCAAUCAUAGCACAGACAAAACCCGAAUCAGCUCAAAUCAAGGAAACAGAAAACCCAGUCAAAAAUACGUGCAUCAAAUUCUUCGUCUGAUAAAACAUACUGUUAUGUUUGAAAAGAUAGCUACUGCCAAGGAUCAAAGCAAUUGAGCCACUACUUGCAUUCACCACUUUUAGUUUCCAGCGAGGUCUAGUUAUCUCUCCAACUUAGUAUUUGGAUGGCACUCGAUAGCAAAAAGAAGAAAGAAACAAAGAAAGAAACGAAAAUCAGAUUGAAACUCAGAAGGAAAGAAUCACAGUUUUCUUUAUUUGCAUAUAUUGCAUGUAAACUAUAACUUUACCUGAUAACAGCUAAAAAUUGAAAAUCAUAUCAGCAAGCUAUAUACUAGAAUUCGGUUCAAUCGAUCAUUGAGGUCCUAGACUGCAGAACAGACAAACGCCGAAUUAGCUCAAAUCAGAUUGAAACUCAGAAAUCAGGUAAUGGGAACAGUUAUCCUUCUUGAAAUGAUAAACUCAAUCUCACACAGUAUAAAAACCACACAAAAACGAAAUUAAAAAAUUUGAAAAUUCAAAAGCACUCAACUCAUCUAUUUGAUCUGAGCAAAGAAUUGAGAGCUUCCCGAAUCUAUAGUCCGACGAAUCCAUCUUGGGGAAAAUUUAUAUUGCACUCUUUGCAUUCAAACACCAAAUUUCAUGCCAACGCACAAAAAAAAUUCAAAUGAAAACACAAUAAAAAUUCAAAUGCAAAUGCAAAAGCCAACAAAGUCAAGCAUAACAACAUCAAGAACAUACCUGAGAAACUAACAUAUUGGAUCCCGCCCAAAAUCAACCAAACUCGACCAGGCACAUGUUAAAACAAAUCCUCCCUAGAUUUUCACUGAAAGAUAUCUCAUCGGCUCUACACCGAAAAUAGAAAAAAAAAAUAUGGAUAAAACCAAAAGGAAACGAUAAGAAAUAGAGACAUUAGAGCACAUAAAAGCACUGGUUUUCAAAACACCAUCUCUUGUCUUUUAACAUACCCAUCUCACGAGGGAGGUAAUCAAAAGUGCCACACAGUCCGCCUGCAAUUGAAUGUAUGCACUGACCACCCAAAAUCUGCUAUCUUGAGUUCACCCUGACCUUAGAAAUCUACAUUGACAUGAUAAGCAACAAGUAUGCAUCAAUAAGUCAUAAAAAGGAAACAUAUAACAGAGCUCCGUUCUUCUAUAAGUAAUUAAGAAGGGAUGCGUUUAAAACACAUUAAUCAUUAUAAAUUGAUAUAAUAAUUCCCGUAGACACAAUACCGAUUGUCAUCAAUUUUAGCAAUUCAAUUCACAAAAAAAUAAAAAUUACAUAUGGAUAUUUUUCUAGAAAGCAUCAUAGAUACAGCCUCAUAGGUUUAAGACUUAAAAGUAAGAUAGUUCUGUUUUGAAUAAGAUAAUGAUUUAUAAUGAGACCAUGCCUCUGUUUUGACACCUGAUACGGUUUUUAGGUUCUUUCCACUUAAGUUUCAAUUCAGUUUUGAUUCCAACUGUACAAUCAAUACAAUAAAACCCAAACUACUGCUAAAUACCAUUAUUAAAACAUCCCUUCACAAAGAGAAAAAAGGAAGAACCUAACCUGAUCAACAAAAUCACACCAACCUUGACCAAGACCUACAAAACCAGAAAAAUAUCCAUAGCAUCAAACACAAAUUCCAACCGGUCAUUCAAACACUUGAUGGAAACUAUUCGAAUAACCAAAAACAAAACCAACCAAAAACCAAUACUUGAAAAAAGAAAACCAAUGUCCAAGCUGCUAUGAUUGUAACCAACUAAUAAGCAAUGCUUUGAAUUUUCAAUAAGUUCAUUUGUCUAAAGCAUGAUUGACUAACCUGCAAUUAAGUUCCUCUUGUCUUCUGACCAUUGACUCCAAAUCUUUCUACUGUCUUUGGCAUUCAUUGUAGUCGUUUUGGGACAAUGGCAGACUGGCAAUGGGAUGACCAUCUGGAAAAAUGAGAACAUCACCCUACUUGUUAUACAUCAGCAUUCAGCAGACUUUCAUGAUCCUCCUACUUGUUCUCCUUGUUGUUAUUAUUAUUCAUCCUCACACAUUUAGCUUGCUAUAUGUGUGGGCAUGUCUGUAUUGACAUAGAUCAUUAUAGCCCCUAUGAAUUUGUUCGCUUCUUUUUAUUUACUCUAUUAACUGAAGAUGAUCUAUAUGUAUUUAAAAUAUUUGAAUCACUGUUAUAUUAUUAAAAGGAAUUUGAAAUUACAGGUCAAAAUAUUUGAAAUUCGAGAGCAUUAAGCACACCUCCGUUACCUUGAGAACAGAUGAAUUGGAAAUCACCCAAAAGAAACCAUAACCAAGCAUCAACAGUAGACCAUAGUGAUUACUAAACUGAACCUGAAAAAAGAUGACCAGUUAUCUCUGUAAUUUUGUAUUCUGGUGGCACUCAAAAGCAAAAAAAAGAAAGAAAGAAAGAAAAAUCAUAUUGAUACUCAGAUUAAGAAAACAUGAAAAUUAAAUCAAGCAGACGAAAGCAAAGUUUUCUUUCUUUGAAGCCACCAUUUUUUGCGUGUAUUUUGUCACAUGACAUACUUGAUAUUCUAAAGUUGUAUUCAAGAUCCCAAAAUGUAGCACUCCUUGAAAAAUUUCAUACAUAAGAAAAACAAUUAUUGAUGGCAGAAAAAGAAACAGGUAAGAAAAUCAAAAAUGCAAGCUGUCGGUUACAGUAGAGUUAAAAAGUAUAGGUGUUACAGAUUAAGGGUAACUUUUAUUUGAAAUCUUGGCAUUCUCCAAGCUAACUCUUCCGUCUCCAUGAGAUUUGUCUUGCACAACAAACCAACAAAAAAUGAAUUGAAUAAUCCAGUAAACAAAUGAUCCAAUUUAUUAAUUGUAAAUAAGCAAUUCAAAAGUUUUCAAAUCCACACAUCCCAUUAGAACUCUAAAUCCCUUUUAGAGUAACUAAUUAAUACAACAUUUAUCACUCAGACAAAGAUUGUGUUAAUUCCAAAUUUUUCUUCAUUUUUUAAGAGCGAAAUCUAAAUGAAGAACCAUUAACUGCAACAAAGAUUGAGCACUCAAAAAGAAAUAGUUUACCAUAUGUAUUUUUAGACCUGUAUCCAGACGAAUGAUGCAACUCUUUUCUCAAAUCUUCAGUCUCCCUUUCAGAUGUGCACCUGGGAAGCAUAAAAUGAUCAAAUGAAAGAAAAAAAAUCGAUCCAGAAUGAGCAAAAAACAGAAUACACAAAUUAGCGCUAAUAUCGAAAACUAUCAUAGAAGGUUGUCCCCUGAUAACCCAAGUUUUCAGUGAGAGUGAGAGAUAGAGAGAGAGAGAGAGAGAGAGAGAGAGAGAGAACUUCAACUUUGAAUCAAUGUCUAAACCUCUGAAUAACAAGGUCCUUAAAAUUUCUCAUUUGUAAAGAGAAAACAACACGAAACAAAUGAACCAAUGGAACACAGAACCGAAUCAUUAAUCCUACACUGAAGACUCCUUGCAUCUCAAUUAAGCGUUUCGAGCCUUGUACAAUUUCACCACCAAUAAGCCGAAAACCCAAUUUCACCGCCAAUAAGCCGAAAACCCAGAAAACCAACACACCAAAUUAACAUCAAAAUCGAACAUGUGAUGAACCAAAAAUUGGAUUGAAUAGCUCUUUAUGACAAAAUAAAAUUGAAGUUGAAAAGAUUACCUUAAGAACACCUUGGGCUGCUUCAGCAAGCUAUCUCAAUCUAAAAUCAAAUUCAUUGCAAAGAAUAUCCACCAUCAAAAGUACUUGAUCAAUCAUCAUGAAAUAAACAAAAUCUCAAAAUCAGGAUUCAAUUUUGAAGAACCUACACAAUCGAUCAGCUAGAAAUCGAAUUACUUUACCUUAGUAUUAAGGGUAUCGUCGUUGCCGGAGCCCAGCCCUAGAUUCGCCAGCUUCUUUGAGGAACACUCUUCACUACCUCCUGACUACGACAACAAUUUUUCACUCUAAAAAUAGCCCGAGAUUACUUAAAAAAUUUUCACUAAACUUACCCAUAGAGGCACCUGAGAACAGCAGCUCUAGCCAAAUAACCAUCUGAAAGAAUAAUAUCAACCUACAAUAACACAGCCAUCCAAUUUGUCAAUCUCAUAUCCAUCAAUCUAUUACACAACCAAAACCAAAAAUCAUUUACUAUAAUAGAGAAAGAACCAACACUGCGGAACCAGAGAGAAACCCAACUCCCACAUAGACCUGACUUUCUUACCGGUAAUUACACAGUACAUCACUAAGCACAGGACACGAAGCUUACUUGAAUCAAUCACUCAAAAACAACCAACGCCCACAGCCACAUCUGACAAAAACAAAACGAAGAACCAAGAAGCAAAUUCAGAACAAAAACAAAUCAAAUCAAAUGCAAACCAAAAUCAAAAACUUAGCAGAAGUAAAGCAUACCCGGAGAAAGAUCACUCCUCUCAAGCUCGAUCACAACAUGCAAAGAGAAAUUUUCUGUUCGGAAACCAAUUCGUCCAAUUCAAAUUCAGCAUCAGAUAAAGAAAGGUACGAAAUUGAAAAACCCGAAUAUAUAUGAUUCAAAAUGAGGAGUAGUUGUCAGAUUCUUUCUACUAUGACUACUUUACUAGCUUUUUUUGCCCACGCGUUGCUGCGGGAAACAAUCAGAAAAUAAAAGUCACAUAUGUACUAUGUUGAUUGUAGUCGCAUAUGUUAUAAUGUCAGUGGAGCUAUUACAAAAACAGUAAUAGACAACAAUCUUGUGUACGUAGCACUAUAGAGUUGAUCUAGUCUUGGCACAUCUGAUUUCGCCUUGCAUCCUUUCUACAUAGCCAAUUAAACCAAAACAUAGAUUAUUACAUAUGUAACUUAGCAAUAUAUUAGUAAAAAGAAGAAAGAAGAAAAAUGAGUAAUGUAGAAAUGACCACUUAGUUAUAUUUGGGACCGCAUGAUAUCCUCAAUUCCUUCUCAUUCUUAACCAAAAAGAACAAAACUUCAAGGUAAUUACAUCAACAUUUACAAUAUAAUUCACAUAGUUGAAUUAGAUUCUCUUCCAUGCAGAGACACCCUUCAUACAUUUUUACACAACAUCCAAAAAAAAUUGAACUUUGUGUGAUACCAAUAUUUUUGAAGGUACAUGCAUAAUACUUACUACCAUAAGACAAUUCCUUUCUUAAAAUAUUUAAGAUUUUCAGGUAAAAUGCAUUGAUCUGCCUAAUUUAUAACACAGAUUUCUUUCCAUAUUUCCCUUAACUUUUUAGAAGAUAACAAUUCUGCACCUAAACUAUUUCCUUGUCCAAAGACUUUUUUUGCAUCAUCUGAUAUUCAUACACUUGACAAUUUCAAUCUAUCCCACAUUGAAAAAUAUGAACAUAUCAUUAUCUCAUUUCCCACAUGCAAAGACAACAAAACAUCAUAUCUGGCAAACUUCUGUCAACUACAGAUGUUACCGUGUUCAGAUCCUGAGAUCAGCCACUACUUUUUUUUGUUUGUUUUCUUUCCAGUUCUAACAAUCUAAUUUAUAGUCCAGGGCUACAGCUAUAGAUAGAACGAACUCGGUAAAUUAUAGAUAUCACCAAAUCAAAACAAAUAGACACGGGAUAUAUAUCUAUCUUAGCCUGAAUUAGUGAUUGGAUACACUUUUGGGAUAAUUGAGGGGAAAGUGGAGAAUUUCAAAAACACAAUAAGAGAUAGUGUAGUACAUCAGAGCAGUUAAUAGAAUACCUGCUAAACAAUUUAGCUGCAAAAUUCCAAAUGACAGAGGUUUCCCAGUCAGCACUAACCUAUAAUCAUACAUACAAAAUAGCUCUUCUUCACUAAAUAGCAUGAACGAGAAGAAAAAGAAAGAGAAUUCAACCAAAGAAAAACACAAUUCGUAAGGAAACGUCGAACACUACCUUCUCAGCUCUCUGCCAGAAUCGGCCGCCGAAUUCAGGCGACUUGCCGGAAUAUUCUGACAGGUUCCGGCAACUUCCCCGUAUUCUUCAAAACACCAAGUUCUCGACAUACAAGCAACGAAAACACUCAAAUCAGCCAUCAAUAGCAAAACCACACAAGAAAACAACACUGCAACAAAACAAGGGAAAUCCUUACCCUCGUGAACCAACACAGUAGCUUUGCUUUGCUGCUUCAAUUCCAAAUCCACCAUGGUACCGACGUGAAAAUCAAAACCAACAAUUCAACAACUCAACACAGAACAACCAACACAGUAAUUCAUAGACAGCUAACCGUAUAAAGUCGGUAACCAUUCAUCUCCUGACGGACAAAAUACACAAGACUCACUGUGGCCGAGUUCAUCCACUGGUCAAGCACAUCAGAUGACUUUUGUAGAGUGGGCUUGAUCAAUAGGGACAAAAGGGGCAAACCCUUCAAUCUCAAGUCUCUUUGCAUUUUGGACAAGGAACCUAUAGGCAUGGUAGAAAUACAUGCUUGACCUGAAAUUAACCAAAGAUAAAAGUACCACUGGAUCAAUUCAAAGAACAAAGAUCAACAAGCAGCACUCCAACAUGAAAACAUCAUACAGGAACAGAUAAAUAACACUUACAACACAGUAAACUCCUUCCUUCUUGACACGUAAUGGUUCCUCACGCACAACAGGAGAGUUAAUUAGGUAUAAUCGUACUAAAUCCUGCACAGCAGAAAUUUCAUUAGACAUGAUUUUUGUGAAAUAUAUCAUCUUCCCACCAUUUGACAAAGAAGCCAGGAAAAAAAAAGGCACUGAAACUAUAAUACGAACAGUCAGUUACUAUAAACACAUACAGCUACAUACUGACCGAUUACAUCAAUUGGAGGAGGAUAAUUUUUCAGACUUUUGCUCCAUUUUUUUACCAUCCUCAUCAAGUACAAGUCCAUUGCAAAUGAGAUUCUGAAACACAGGUUUGCCAAAUAAACCAGUAUAUAACACCACAAGGGUGUAGAACCUGCAUAAUCGGAAGGAAAAAAAUGAGGCCUAGCUUAGACAUUGGAAGCUUGUGUUGUGAUAUCGGCCAAUUAUGUACGUCAAGGAACCCCAAAAGAACACAGCAAACCAAGAGAAACAACAAACCAAGAGAAACAACCACAGAGAAACAACCACAGAGAUAAGACACAAAGAACACAGAUAUAAGAUGGUUCAGCAAAACUUUUGCCAACGUCCACCGGCAGAAACACUCCACUAUAUUAAUAAUGGGUACACCAGAAAGUAUAAGAAAACAAUUCUCUUCCUAUCUCUCUCCUCUCUGCCCUCUCUCACCCUCUAACCGAGAAAGGAACACACUUUGGUCUUGAUCUCUGCGAUACAAAACAUAGAGCUGAGCCCCUCCUUAUAUAGCCAUAAGGAUAUCAGAUCUCUUCACCAAAUAGGAAAUCCAAUCCUAUUAGUGGUAGGCAAUAAUGCCUCCUUCCUUCUCUGUAAUCUCGUACAGGUACACCAUCAUCAAUAAGGAUUUGCUUUCCUUAUUAGAACACCAUACUCUAAGACCAAACAUCUUAGGAAAAACACAUGGGCAGGAAACCAAACAGCUUGUGCCCAAGUUAAGAUAAAAGCUAACAGAAAGGAAUCUAAUCCUACAAUAGGCAGCCGUCAGUCAUUAUACUAAUUAAAAAGAAAAAAAAACACAACUUACGAACACACAAAAGGGUUUUUCUAGUAGUCACCAAAACAAACACCCUAUUCUGUUUUUAACUGUACUUCAUAGUUUUUGGAAUCUUCAUCUAACACUAGAAUCCAUGUGGAAAGAAGUAUCAUUGCCACACAUGUACAUACAUAAUUGAUUAUAGAAAAAUUAGGAAGUUCUAGACCAUUGACAUUAACUAACCCAACUCAGCUGCAUGACUACAAUUAGUGAUAGCCAACAAGAAAGGAACUGAAAAACUGGAAACCCCAAAUACAAUAAAAUUAGCAUCCACAAAUCUGAUCCAGCCCUCCGGCCACAAAAUUUCCACGAAAGUUUUUCUCAUAAACUUCAACCAUUCUCAAAAGGAUAGUGGAUUUAAGCAUAAAGGCAUGGAACCACUCUCGAACCAACAAUCAAACAUAUGAAAAGAUAAUUAAACGAGUCAAACAUCUAUAUCAUUAGGCAGACAUCAGUGCUUGACAAAAUUGGUUUACUACAUAAUAUUAUCAUCAAGCAUGCCAAUUCUUCCAAAAGCUUUCCAAGUUUUAGCAAUUGUUUAGAC
rnacentral:lncRNA from 1 species